GAUGAACGCUGGCGGCGUGCCUAAUACAUGCAAGUCGAGCGAACAGACGAGGAGCUUGCUCCUUUGACGUUAGCGGCGGACGGGUGAGUAACACGUAGGUAACCUACCUAUAAGACUGGGAUAACUUCGGGAAACCGGAGCUAAUACCGGAUAAUAUUUCGAACCGCAUGGUUCGAUAGUGAAAGAUGGCUUUGCUAUCACUUAUAGAUGGACCUGCGCCGUAUUAGCUAGUUGGUAAGGUAACGGCUUACCAAGGCAACGAUACGUAGCCGACCUGAGAGGGUGAUCGGCCACACUGGAACUGAGACACGGUCCAGACUCCUACGGGAGGCAGCAGUAGGGAAUCUUCCGCAAUGGGCGAAAGCCUAACGGAGCAACGCCGCGUGAGUGAUGAAGGUCUUCGGAUCGUAAAACUCUGUUAUUAGGGAAGAACAAACGUGUAAGUAACUGUGCACGUCUUGACGGUACCUAAUCAGAAAGCCACGGCUAACUACGUG
rnacentral:rRNA from 1 species